GGCCCUGUAACUGCUGUGUUUGGGGGUUAGCAGACACCCAGUCCUAGGAAAGAUGGGAAGAGUUGUGAUGGAGGGCACCACGAUGGCCUGGCCCAGGGAUCCCAGAAGCUUACUGGACCUUCAAAGACCCAUAGAGUCUCUUGUCCUUGCUGGGCCCAGCCAGGACCUCCCCCACCCCCCUUCCCGCCAGCCUGCCUGCCAGCAAGGCUGCAGACUGCAGCUGGAGACCCGGAUUGUUGUUGGAGAAGCGGUCGGUUUGUUUGCUCCAGAGCCUGCCGAGAAAUCUCAACAAUCAAUGGCCAACAACACUGCUGGCGGCUGCAGCAUCGAUCUCCCCUCCCAGGGCUGGCAGCUGGGUGGCAGGGGCGCCAAGACCAAGAUUCACUUGACUCCCAUCCUCGUGCUCUGUCCUGGUCUCCAAGUGUCAGAAAGAAUGUUUUAUUCGUUGCCGCUAAGAACUGAGCAAGACCUGAACCCCAAGCCUGAUCACAUUUCUGCCAGAUCCUUGGAGGGAAGGCUCUCCUUCUUCCUGGAAGAACAUUCUUCUGGACGGGCUCUUGUCGACUGAUCUUUAGUGGAGCUGUCUACUGCGGGUGACACCGCCCAGGACCUGCAGCCAGCCCGUGAGGUCCUCCUGCUUCUCCGCCGGCCUCCAGGAGCAACUUCCAAGCUGUGUCCCACACGUAGGGCUCUCCCUUGUCCCCGAGAGCCUGCAGCAAGGGGGAUGUCCUGGCUCCCAUAGUAACCCAGGCUUCAUCUCCUCGAAGGCAGGGGAUCAUGGCUCAUUCACCAGUGUUUCCUCGGGGGCUCAAUAAAUAUUCAUCGAAUCGAUAAUUAUGAUAAUAAUAACUCCAUUGAUUGAAUGCUUACUCUGUGCCAAAGCUGAGAAAGGCAGAUGCUUUUUUACCUAGGGUAGGACCCUUCUGCUUCUCUCUGAACUACAAGAGGCUUCCAGUGUUUCGUCUUAUUUUCUAGCCAGAAGCAGAGGUGGCGGCAGCUCUGCGAAGUAUCCUAAUCCCCACCUUACUGAGGAAACACACGCAGGAAGAACCAGCUGGUCCAGGCUAACAAGUGAAUGGUAUGCUCUAUCCCUCCACUUUCAGUCAUUUGGAAGUCCUCCUUGAGGUCUAACCUAAACCCUUUUUGUUGCAACAGCACCAAUCCCUUCUCUGUCCCGUGCAAACAUCCCCCAGUUGAGGAUCGCCUGCCCGCUCUUUGCAUGGGUUGGUCUGCAACGAAUAUUAAACACGAAACCUCACAGAGGCCAGCCUUGCAGGGCAGGCAAUGAACCAACCCUCCUCAUGCCUGUUCAUUAUUAUAAUUAAUAUUGAGCCGGGGUUGGUGGCGACCUCGCCCUCACCAGGUAUCUGGGCUAUUUUAGAAGCUUAUUCAGAUCAAUGACAGACAGCUCCAAAUAGAUAAACUCCCUGCCAUCCAGACGAAUCAAUUGUAACACUGCCGUCACAACAAGCCCAAGAAAUCAAUCUGAUUUCAGGCGACAUGGUAACUCAGCCCUGGGCAAGCGGGUUUUAAAUUCCGCGUGGCCAAGACGCAGCUUCCUCUGCGCACUGGAACACCCCGCACGUUCGCAGCCAGUGUUGCAGGCUCACAGGUGCCCAGGCAGGCCCGCAGAGGCCUCAGGCCAAGGGGGCGGUCCCACGGAGGGCAGGAUGACUGGGAGGUCAUGUGACCUUGAGGAAGGCUCUUGAACCCCCAGACCCAGGAGGAGCUGACUCAGACCCGCUGUUGGGAUCCUUGUUUUGCUGGCUUCAGCUCCGUUUUUUCUGCUGCCUUCUGCAAAAACCAAGCCUGGAGGACUUUCUGGGCUGUCUCACAAAUCAGGGAGCCGCAGAGGUGGUCUGCCUACCUCAGGCGGCAGGACAACUGCCCUUCUUGGUCUUGGAGAUGGGAUUUGUCCAUCUAGCGGGGCAGCAAAAAAGCUCAGCAGAGCAGAAACAGCCUUUUAUUGGGUGCUUACUUUAUGCCCAGGCACUAUGCUAAGUAUUUUAUACCCCAUCUUAACCCUCACAGCAGCCCAAAGAGAUAGGGAGCAAUUCUCCACAUUUUGUAGAAGAGGAAACCAAAGCUCAGAGAAGUUAAGCAACUCAUCCUGAGUCACACAGCCGGUAGGUGAUGGAGGCUGGAUUUGAACCCACAUCUGUUAGACUCCCUUCCCUAAGCCCUUAGCUACCGACGCUGUCUUAAAGAUGACACCAGACUUGCCCUCAUUCUCCCCCCUCCCUGGAUCCUGUCAGGUUAAAUGAAGUGAUUGCUUUUCCUCCAGGCUGCCAGGGAAGGGAGAUUCUCUCAGGCGUUCUCACAAUCAGCAAUUGUUCCUGAACUUUCACCCUGUGUUCUAGGUACUGAGUUGAGGGUGUUGAGGAGGCAGGAGGGUCAGGAGGCCAAGCUGGACAUCUUCCCACAUUUCAGCAUGGAUUCCCUUUCCCUCCCCCAGUCCUGUUAAUAUAUCUAGGUGGUGAUGGGUGGGGCCUGAGACAGGCAGCUGGGUGUUCUAAAUGGCCAAGGUCAGGGCUUUCCAAAUAUAUUCUAGCCAAGAAACUCUCUACUCGGAUGAUACCUUAUGAGGAAGACAAGGAUGCAAACAGAUGAAAAUGGAGCUGGUCAGCUGGCAAUAGGGACCUGGGAGCCCUCCUCCUCGACCCUUCUCUCGCCCCCCAUAGCAGCAGUCUGCUCCCCCACCCCCCCCACCCCUCGCCUUGCCCGCCUGUCCCAGCCUUCCAGCUGCUUCAGUUGAGCCCUGGGCCUGGCUGAUUUUCCAGCCCCAACACUGCCUUUCAGCCACAAGCUACCUUGAGCCUGCUCUGGAUUUAGAGCCUGGUAAUUUAGGUGCUAAGUGGGCAAAGACACCCCUGGCCCCAGGAAGGCCACAUAUCCAUCUCCUUCGGGGUUAGCCUUGGGCAUUGUGGGGAGGCAUAGAUCUGGGGACCAGAUGGCCCUGGAUUGUGAAGGGGGUCUUCUGUCUGUCCUGGGGAGCAAAGGGCCUGGGCUGGCCCUUGUGGGAGGUGGACGCCUUUUCAUCAAGCUCAGCCCCUGAUGUCCUCCCUGAGGAUGGCUGGGACGUCUGGAUUCUGCAGCCCAGCAAUGGAGAGUGACACACAAGACCACACGGCUAGCGGCCAGCGAGUGACAGGAGCAGACUCACACCCAGGCCCAUGUGGCUCCACAGGGGCCACGAUUGUCUGCAUUCUCUCUUCUCCAGACAGUGGUUGCCGCCCCGCCCCCCACUUUCUGCAUAAAAUCAUCAGCCCUUCCACCCACCAAAUAUGCAAUCUGGGGAGGAACUCAAAUCGUAGCAGGAGGGAAUGGGAUUAGAUACUGGAAGGACUUCCUGACUCAUGAGCUCGUGUUCUAGGACAGGAUAGGCGGCAGGCAGGGUGCUCUCUCCCAAGGGUUUUCAGGUAGGGUCCCAGUUCAUCUGUGCCCCUGCGGUUCCCACUUCCCGAAAGGUACUGAGAGUCAAGAAUGAUCUCUGCUGGGGGCGCCUGGGUGGCAGCGUUGUUAAGCGUCUGCCUACAGCUCAGGGCGUGAUCCUGG